UACGAAGGGGGCUAGCGUUGCUCGGAAUUACUGGGCGUAAAGCGCACGUAGGCGGCUCGUUAAGUCAGUGGUGAAAGCCGACAGCUUAACUGUCGAAAUGCCAUUGAUACUGGGGAGCUUGAGUACAGUAGAGGUAGGCGGAAUUAAUGGUGUAGCGGUGAAAUGCAUAGAUACCAUUAAGAACACCGAUUGCGAAGGCAGCUUACUAUAGUGUAACUGACGCUGAGGCACGAAAGUGUGGGGAUCAAACAGG
rnacentral:rRNA from 1 species